CAGCCAUUGCGGCAGCCCACCUGCCGCUAAACCCCACAUUUCAUUCCUUUCUUCGCCUCCAAUCCACGAUCUCCUCUUCCUGCUACUCCUGCAUCACCGGGGGUGGCUUGCCGGGCUUCUCGACCCUGGAUGCUUCUGGAACCUUCUAGAGCCUCCUCCACACCGCCCUGAUCCUCCUUAGGCCUCGCCACUCGCCAGCCCGGGCAGCCGCGCCUCUCCCCCGUGCGCACCGGAAGCUCAGUCACCGCACGCCCGAACCAACAUACCUCCAUUGCGCGCCGCCGCCGCCGCCUCGCCCCCCAUGGACCAGUUCGGGUGGCUCCGGCACGCCUCCAGGUCUCUCGUGCUCCGCUCAGGAGAGGUGGCUGCGCAGAGGAGCACAUGGAUUCGACCUAAUGCACCUUGCAGCUCUACUGGCAUGUAUAUUGGUGAUAGGUACUAUGGCCGAUUCAUGCUUUCAUCAUUUAUAUCGAGCAUGAGUUUUCAUGCUACAUGUUAAUAUGCUCGGUUUAAACGUCAUAAUUACUUUUGCAAUGAAAUUUUAAACAGGCUUUAUCAGCAGCUCUCUACUGGCUAAUACUUACAGGUGGGAGCUAGUCACAGAAAAUAUGACGGGGAAAAGUGUCAUGAUCGGAGCUGGCAUCCUCCUACUGAUUCACCUGAUACUGAGCAGGUGAGCUAAGGCUUGGAAACUGCACUGUUGCUGGGGCAGUGGGGCAACAUCAUAAAUUCUCUGAAGAUUUGGCUUCACACAAUAGAACAUAGGGUCACGAUUCCUUAAAGAUUCUUUGCACCCUUGAGAGAUCACAAUUUUGAAAGAGGCGUCAGCUAGAAGAUUUGGGGGGGUCCCUAGGGGAAGAAUAAUCAUAAUAAGAUAUUUUAGCAUCACAGCUCCGACCAUCUGAGAUUGUCAUUUGAGCUGCCUAAAUUUGGUUGUGGUUUCUCUUCAGUGGUGUAAUAUAGAUGCUUGACCACUGCAAUAGUUCAAUGUUUCAACCAUGUUAGGGUGAAACUGGCUGUAACUUCUCUUGCGACUUGACGCAUCCCUUUCCCUUAAUCAUUUGAUCAUGUUACUUUGUACAUAUAUACCCUGUCAGCCCGCCAGGCUGAUGUGGGCA